rnacentral:rRNA from 1 species
UACGUAGGGGGCAAGCGUUGUCCGGAUUUAUUGGGCGUAAAGGGUGCGUAGGCGGUCGGGUAAGUCUGAUGUGAAAUCUCACAGCUUAACUGUGAAACUGCAUUGGAUACUAUCCGGCUCGAGGAAUGGAGGGGAGACUGGAAUACUUGGUGUAGCAGUGAAAUGCGUAGAUAUCAAGUGGAACACCAGUGGCGAAGGCGAGUCUCUGGACAUUUCCUGACGCUGAGGCACGAAAGCCAGGGGAGCAAACGGG